rnacentral:rRNA from 1 species
UGAGCGAUAAGGUCCAUUGUCGAAAGGGGAACAGCCCAGAUCACCAGUUAAGGUCCCUAAAUUUAUGCUAAGUGGAAAAGGAUGUGGCGUUGCACAGACAACUAGGAUGUUGGCUCAGAAGCAGCCACCAUUUAAAGAGUGCGUAAUAGCUCACUAGUCGAGUGGCACUGCGCCGAAAAUAUACCGGGGCUAAGCAUAAUACCGAAACUGUGGGUGCACCCGUCAGGGUGCGCGGUAGGAGAGCGUUCUAAGGGCGUUGAAGGUCGAUCGUGAGGACGGCUGGAGCGCUUAGAAGUGAGAAUGCCGGCAUGAGUAGCGAAAGAUCAGUGAGAAUCUGAUCCACCGUAUGACUAAGGUUUCCUGGGGAAGGCUCGUCCUCCCAGGGUUAGUCGGGAUCUAAGGCGAGGCCGCAAGGCGUAGUCGAUGACAAGCAGGUUGAGAUUCCUGCACUAGUUUAUUUUGUUUAAGCGAUGGAGGGACGCAGGAGGCUAAGGAAAGCGCACGGCUGGAAAAGUGCGUCCAAGCAGUAAGUCCGGUAGCGAGUGAAAUGCUUGCCGCCUUAAGGACAAGCUGUGAUGGGGAGCGAAAUUAAAGUAGCGAAGUUCCUGAUGUCACACUGCCAAGAAAAGCUUCUAGUGAGAAAUAAACUACCCGUACCGCAAACCGACACAGGUAGUCGAGGAGAGUAUCCUCAGGUGAGCGAGCGAACUCUCGUUAAGGAACUCGGCAAAAUGACCCCGUAACUUCGGAAGAAGGGGUGCUGACCGCAAGGUCAGCCGCAGUGAAUAGGCCCAAACAACUGUUUAUCAAAAACACAGGUCUCUGCUAAAUCGUAAGAUGAUGUAUAGGGGCUGACGCCUGCCCGGUGCUGGAAGGUUAAGAGGAUGAGUUAGCGCAAGCGAAGCCCAGAAUUGAAGCCCCAGUAAACGGCGGCCGUAACUAUAACGGUCCUAAGGUAGCGAAAUUCCUUGUCGGGUAAGUUCCGACCCGCACGAAAGGCGUAAUGAUUUGGGCACUGUCUCAACGAGAGACUCGGUGAAAUUAUAGUACCCGUGAAGAUGCGGGUUACCCGCGACAGGACGGAAAGACCCCAUGGAGCUUUACUGUAGCUUGAUAUUGAGUGUUGGUACCGCUUGUACAGGAUAGGUAGGAGCCGUAGAGAUCGGAACGCUAGUUUCGAUGGAGGCAUUGGUGGGAUACUACCCUAGCUGUAUGAACACUCUAACCCGCGCCACUAAUCGUGGCGGGAGACAGUGUCAGGUAGGCAGUUUGACUGGGGCGGUCGCCUCCUAAAAUGUAACGGAGGCGCCCAAAGGUUCCCUCAGAAUGGUUGGAAAUCAUUCGCAGAGUGUAAAGGUAGAAGGGAGCUUGACUGCGAGACUGACAAGUCGAGCAGGGACGAAAGUCGGGCUUAGUGAUCCGGUGGUUCCGUAUGGAAGGGCCAUCGCUCAACGGAUAAAAGCUACCCUGGGGAUAACAGGCUUAUCUCCCCCAAGAGUCCACAUCGACGGGGAGGUUUGGCACCUCGAUGUCGGCUCAUCGCAUCCUGGGGCUGUAGUCGGUCCCAAGGGUUGGGCUGUUCGCCCAUUAAAGCGGUACGCGAGCUGGGUUCAGAACGUCGUGAGACAGUUCGGUCCCUAUCCGUCGCGGGCGCAGGAAAUUUGAGAGGAGCUGUCCUUAGUACGAGAGGACCGGGAUGGACGUUCCGCUGGUGUACCAGUUGUGCCGCCAGGCGCAUCGCUGGGUAGCUAUGAACGGAAGGGAUAAACGCUGAAAGCAUCUAAGUGUGAAGCCCCCCUCGAGAUGAGAUUUCCCAUUCCUAUAUGGAAGUAAGACCCCUGAAAGAUGAUCAGGUAGAUAGGCUGGAAGUGGAAGUGCAGCGAUGCAUGGAGCGGACCAGUACUAAUCGGUCGAGGACUUAACCAA